rnacentral:rRNA from 1 species
CGGGUGAGUAACGCGUGAGGAACCUGCCUCAAAGAGGGGGACAACAGUUGGAAACGACUGCUAAUACCGCAUAAGCCCACGGCUCGGCAUCGAGCAGAGGGAAAAGGAGCAAUCCGCUUUGAGAUGGCCUCGCGUCCGAUUAGCUAGUUGGUGAGGUGACGGCCCACCAAGGCGACGAUCGGUAGCCGGACUGAGAGGUUGAACGGCCACAUUGGGACUGAGACACGGCCCAG